rnacentral:rRNA from 1 species
UACGUAGGGUGCAAGCGUUGUCCGGAAUUAUUGGGCGUAAAGAGCUCGUAGGCGGCUCGUUGCGUCGGCUGUGAAAACCCGCAGCUCAACUGUGGGCUUGGCAGCUGAUACGGGCGGGCUGGGAUUCGGUAGGGAGACUGGAAUCCUGGUGUAGCGGUGAAAUGCGCAGAUAUCAGGAGGAACACCGGUGGCGAAGGCGGGUCUCUGGGCCGAUAUCGACGCUGAGGAGCGAAAGCGUGGGGAGCGAACAGG